rnacentral:rRNA from 1 species
AGAGUUUGAUCCUGGCUCAGGAUGAACGCUAGCCACAGGCUUAACACAUGCAAGUCGAGGGGAAACGAUAUUGGAAGCUUGCUUCCGAUAGGCGUCGACCGGCGCACGGGUGAGUAACGCGUAUCCAACCUGCCCACCACUUGGGGAUAACCUUGCGAAAGUAAGACUAAUACCCAAUGAUAUCUCUAGAAGACAUCUGAAAGAGAUUAAAGAUUUAUCGGUGAUGGAUGGGGAUGCGUCUGAUUAGCUUGUUGGCGGGGUAACGGCCCACCAAGCCUUCGAUGGAUAGGGGUUCUGAGAGGAAGGUCCCCCACAUUGGAACUGAGACACGGUCCAAACUCCUACGGGAGGCAGCA